AGGUGAUAAAACAUGCUCUCAUGCAAUGUAUCACAUCACAAGUAAUCACAUCUCAGCAUGGACGGAUCAACACUCCCUCUAUACCAUAUGCCUGGUCCCCGUAGGGCUGUUCCAGGUCUUUGUGCCUGGUCCCCGUAGGGCUGUUCUAGGUCUUUAUGCCUGGUCCCCGUAGGGCUGUUCCAGGUCUUUAUGCCUGGUCCCCGUAGGGCUGUUCCAGGUCUUUCCUCUGAGGGCUAUUGAAUCCUUA
rnacentral:lncRNA from 1 species